GCCAUUUGUGAAGGACUGGAAAAGGAAAAUGUCCUGAUGAUGCCAAAAAUAAUAAUAAUAGGGGAAUGAAAUCUUUAAACUUCAGGCCAGUAAACUUAACUUUGAUUCCAGACAAAUUUUUAGAACUUAUUCUUAGAGAUGUUAGUUAACCUUUAGGAAAGAAAGAGGUGAUCACUAAGAGCCAGGAUGGCUUCAUCAGUAGCAAAUUAGUCCAGCUUAACCUUAGGCCCUUUGUUUGGAUAGGAUUAAGAAAUUGAUGGCUCUGGCAAAUUAUAUAUAUACAUAUAUAUAUGCAUAUAUACAUAUCUAUGAUAUGUAUUAGUUUUAAUUAAGCAUUUGAAACAAUCACUCAUAUUGCUUUGAAGAAGAUGGAGAGAUAUAUUCUACACAAUAGUCACUUGUAUUGCUAAGUCUAAGCAGAUUAUGAUAAUGAAACCUAUUUUCUUGGCUGUCAUAAACAGAUGAUUGACUUAGGUACUCAAUAUCUUCAAAAGAAAUGAGGCAUGAAGAGAUACUAGGUAUAUGGCUUAAUGCCCUAGGCCAUCAAAUAAACAUCAUUGUGGAAAAGGAAUGCUUCAGAUGUUUAGAGUGAAGGUUUCUGAGUACCUAUCAGUGAUGGGCUUCUUCUGUCUUCUCAUCUCAAGUAAAAAAGUAUUUGCUCAUUUUCUCAACAGAUGGCUGCUGAAUGCCUACUAUGUACUCAUUCUACACUACGUGUUGAAAUCUAAAGGGAAGUGUAAGCCUCCUUUGGAUGUAGUAGCCAGAAGUCAUAGGAAGAACCAUUUGGAGGAAGAAAAGAAAAAUUAUUUGUUUAUUUAUUUUUUUGGUAAUUACAUGUAAUCAAUUUUCAUAUGUGUUUUAUAAAAUUUUAUGAUCCAAAUUGUUACUCUUAGCCCUUUCUUUUAAAAUGUAAAGACAUAUUUUUAAGGGGGAAGGGAUUAAAAGUAGAACUUCAAUCCUUUAAACAUAGGCUCUGAUGACUCUAUUUAAUUGACUCUAUAUAAAAUAUGACUCUAUAUAAUGAAAACUAAUUUCCUUUCUUUCCAUAUUUAUGUUUAUUGUUUCAGUUUGAUUUAAUCCAACAACAUUUAAGUGUUUAUUGUGUAACCAGGCAGGGGAGAUAUAAAGAGUUGAAACAAUCCCUGCCCUGAUGUAACUUAAAUUCUGGGGGUGGAGGUGAGGAUGGAUGCCACAGAUAUUAAAUGCAAAACAUAUACAAAGUAAGUGUAAUGAAAUUUAGGAAGAAUACCUGGGGGAAUCAGAAAAGGCCUUUUGUAAAAGGAACAGUUUCAUUGAAAUGUGUCACCUAAGGCUUGAAGACAUAGAGAUGAGGAGGGAGAGCAUUCCAAGCAUGAAGCACAGCCUGUGCGAAAGCAUAGCAAUGGGAGAUUGGAUAUCAGUUGCAAAGAUCAAAUGAAUGAAAGAGACUUUCAUAUGAAGUAUUACAUAAAUUAGAAAAGUAGGAAGGAGCCACAUGGUAGAGAGUUUUAAAUGCUGGACAGAAGUUUUAUUUUAUUCAAGAGUCAAUAGGGUGCUACUAAUGUAUUUGUAUAUAAACACAUUAGUUUGCAAUAUCAUAGAGAGUAGAAACUGUAUUUUUCUUAGGACAAUGCUAUGGAUACAGAUGCUUAGGAGAUUUAUUUUUGGCACAUCAUGUCCAUUUUCCCAAGUAUUUGGGGUUCAAAAGAGACAGAUUGAUUCCUUUGUCUUUGAAUUUUGUUCUAUAAAUCAGUAUUUUUUUUAGGUUAGAUGCUUAGAAGUUACUGCUAGAUCCAGGGAUUGGGAAGAAAAAAAAAAAGAGUGACUAAGGAAAGUUGGAAUCUACAUUCCAUCUAGGAUUCUGUUUGAAUCUGUUUUAAGAGCUGAAUGUGACUCUCAAUAGACAUCCUGUUAUAUCUGGAGCUGCCAUUCUGUCCAGCUUUAAAAAAAUGUCCUCCAGACUUUUAACUUCACAAGGAUGUGGCAUUUUUUAUUUUAAUAAAGCCAUCGAAAGAGCACCCUUUUGGAGUGAC
ensembl:lncRNA